UACGGAGGGGGCUAGCGUUGUUCGGAAUUACUGGGCGUAAAGCGCACGUAGGCGGCUUUGUAAGUUAGAGGUGAAAGCCCGGGGCUCAACUCCGGAAUUGCCUUUAAGACUGCAUCGCUAGAAUUGUGGAGAGGUAAGUGGAAUUCCGAGUGUAGAGGUGAAAUUCGUAGAUAUUCGCAAGAACACCAGUGGCGAAGGCGGCUCACUGGCCCGAUACUGACGCUGAGGUGCGAAAGUGUGGGGAGCGAACAGG
rnacentral:rRNA from 1 species